GGGUCGGUAGGUUGGUCGUGCCACCGGUACGUACUGGUCUCACUGAUUCCUCCUUCCUGAAGAACCGUAAUGCCAUUAAUUUGGUGUUGCGGGGAAACAGGACUGUUACUUUGAAAAAAUUAGAGUGUUCAAAGCAAGCUAACGCUUGAAUACAUUAGCAUGGAAUAUUGAAAUAGGACGAUCGAUCCUAUUUUGUUGGUUUCUAGGAUUGACGUA
rnacentral:rRNA from 1 species